rnacentral:rRNA from 1 species
GAUGAACGCUGGCGGCGUGCCUAAUACAUGCAAGUCGAGCGAACAGACGCGGACCUUGCUCCUCUGACGUUAGCGGCGGACGUGUGAGUAACACGUGGAUAACCUACCUAUAAGACUGGGAUAACUUCGGGAAACCGGUGCUAAUACCGGAUAAUAUAUUCAACCGCAUGGUUCAAUAGUGUAAGACGGUUUUGCUGUCACUGCUACAUGGAUCCGCGCCGCAUUAGCUAGUUGGUAAGGUAACGGCUUACCAAGGCAACGAUGGGUAGCCGACCUGAGAGGGGGAUCGGGCACACGGGGACCGAGCGACGGUCCAGACACCGACGGGAGGCCGCAGUAGGGAAUGUACCGAGAUGGGCGAAAGCUUGACGGAGCAACGCAGGGUGGGUGAUGAAAGUCUUCGGACCGUAAGACUGUGUUAUGAGGGAAGAACGAAUGUGUAAGUAACUAUGCACGUCUUGACGGUACCUAAACAGAAAGCCACGGCUAACUACGUG